UACGAAGGGGGCUAGCGUUGCUCGGAAUUACUGGGCGUAAAGGGCCAGUAGGCGGCCAACUAAGUCGGAUGUGAAAUCCCCAGGCUUAACCUGGGAACUGCAUCCGAUACUGGAUGGCUUGAAUUCGGGAGAGGGAUGCAGAAUUCCAGGUGUAGCGGUGAAAUGCGUAGAUAUCUGGAGGAAUACCGGUGGCGAAGGCGGCAUCCUGGACCGGCAUUGACGCUGAGGAGCGAAAGCCAGGGGAGCAAACGGG
rnacentral:rRNA from 1 species